AAAAAAAAUAACUAUGCAGUGUUGAAUGGAACGGUUUGAUGCUAGUGUUAAUCUUGACUAUGAAAAACGGAAAGUGUUCAAGAUAAAUCCCCAGUCCAGUAGCCGUCGAGUAACUAGCUUAUGCGAUACAUAAUCUACCGUUAGUCACACCACUAGAAAACACAAUUAUCAUACGUUCCAUAUGAAACUACGCCAUCUGGACCGUGAUUUUGAACAAUGGGUUUAAAAUAAUGUUUUCUGAUGAAGCUACUUUUCGCAGCAAUGGUGCAUUUAAUCGUCAUAACAUGCAUUUUUAUUCAACAGUUAAUCCAUUCUGGCUACGGGAAGUGCAAGAACAAACCAUUGUGGUCUGAAAUAUAAUACUUCAAAGUUAUU